UAGUAACGGCGAGUGAAGCGGCAAAAGCUCAGAUUUGAAAUCUGUCGCCAUUUUGGCGGCCGAGUUGUAGUCUGUAGAGGUGUAUUCGAGUGUGGCUUUGGCUUAAGUUCCUUGGAACAGGGCGUCAUAGAGGGUGAGAACCCCGUUAACGGCCUUUGUCUUAUGCUCAUGUGAAUCUCCUUCAACGAGUCGAGUUGUUUGGGAAUGCAGCUCUAAAUGGGUGGUAAAUUCCAUCUAAAGCUAAAUACUGGCAAGAGACCGAUAGCGCACAAGUAGAGUGAUCGAAAGAUGAAAAGAACUCUGAACAGAGAGUUAAAUAGUACGUGAAAUUGUUGAAAGGGAAGCACUUCCGACCAGACGCACUUGCAGCCGAUCAAUCUUCAUUCUUGAGGGUGCACUCGGUUGUCUGUGGGUCAGCAUCAGUUAUGGCGGUGGGAAAAAGACUAAGGGAAUGUGGCUCCUUUCGGGGAGUGUUAUAGCCUUUGGUGCAAUGCUGCCUGCUGUGACUGAGGACCGCGCUUCGGUGAGGAUGCUGGCAUAAUGGUCGUAAGUGACCCGUCUUGAAACACGGACCAAGGAGUCUAACAUCUAUGCGAGUGUUUGGGUGUUCAAACCCUUACGCGGAAUGAAAGUAAAUGGAGGUGGGAACCGUAAGGUGCACCAUCGACCGAUCCUGAUGUUUUCGGAUGGAUUUGAGUAGGAGCAUAGCUGUUGGGACCCGAAAGAUGGUGAACUAUGCCUGAAUAGGGUGAAGCCAGAGGAAACUCUGGUGGAGGCUCGCAGCGGUUCUGACGUGCAAAUCGAUCGUCAAAUUUGGGUAUAGGGGCGAAAGACUAAUCGAACCAUCUAGUAGCUGGU
rnacentral:rRNA from 1 species